GAUGAACGCUGGCGGCGUGCUUAACACAUGCAAGUCGAACGGAAAGGCUCCUGCUUGCAGGGGUACUCGAGUGGCGAACGGGUGAGUAACACGUGGGUGAUCUGCCCUGCACUUCGGGAUAAGCCUGGGAAACUGGGUCUAAUACCGGAUAGGACGAUGGUUUGGAUGCCAUUGUGGAAAGUUUUUUCGGUGUGGGAUGAGCUCGCGGCCUAUCAGCUUGUUGGUGGGGUAAUGGCCUACCAAGGCGUCGACGGGUAGCCGGCCUGAGAGGGUGUACGGCCACAUUGGGACUGAGAUACGGCGCAGACUCCUACGGGAGGCAGCAGUGGGGAAUAUUGCACAAUGGGCGCAAGCCUGAUGCAGCGACGCCGCGUGGGGGAUGACGGCCUUCGGGUUGUAAACUCCUUUCGCUAGGGACGAAGCGCAAGUGACGGUACCUGGAGAAGAAGCACCGGCUAACUACGUG
rnacentral:rRNA from 1 species